rnacentral:rRNA from 1 species
UGGAAUUGCUAGUAAUGGCAGGUCAGCAUACUGCCGUGAAUACGUUCCCGGGCCUUGUACACACCGCCCGUCACACCAUGAGAGUUGGGAAUACCCGAAGCCUGUGAGCUAACUUAUAGAGGCAGCAGUCGAAGGUAGAAUCAAUGAUUGGGGUGAAGUCGUAACAAGGUAAC